GGGGAAUCUUGCGCAAUGGGGGAAACCCUGACGCAGUGACGCCGUGUGAACGAUGAAGUCCUUCGGGAUGUAAAGUUCUGUCAGGCGGGAAGAACCUCCCCCCGAUGCAAAUCGGGGGGAAAUGACGGUACCGCCAGAGGAAGCACUGGCUAAUUCCGUGCCAGCAGCCGCGGUAACACGGAGAGUGCAAGCGUUGUUCGGAAUUACUAGGCGUAAAGCGCGUGUAGGUGGUUAGUUAAGUCGGAUGUGAAAAUUCCAAGCUUAACUUGGAACCGGCAUUCGAAACUGGUUAACUUGAGUGUAGGAGAGGAGAGCGGAAUUCCUAGUGUAGCGGUGAAAUGCGUAGAUAUUAGGAAGAACACCGGUGGCGAAGGCGGCUCUCUGGCCUAAAACUGACACUGAGACGCGAAAGCGUGGGUAGCAAACAG
rnacentral:rRNA from 1 species